AAAAUCAAUUGAAAAUUAGGUAUAUCAUUCUCGUUCGCAGCAUAUUUAAAAGAAUCAAUGAAAGAAAGAAAGAAAGAAUAAUUACCCAACAACUAAUCGAAAGCCUCUGUUAUCAUAGCGCUGCAAGUGCCUGCCGGUGCGAGGAUAAGAAACACGAUGAACCAAUUUCUCAAUUGGCAUAGGCAAUUUCACAGUGAUUCUUUCAAGGAGAGAAAGCAAAGAGUGGAGCAAAGUGGGAAACUUCAUAAGAAAGCCCGAGAUUCCUCCCAUGGCUUCAGA